rnacentral:lncRNA from 1 species
CUCCCAACAACACAGAUUUAAAAAAGAAAAAAAAUACCUCCCAACUACAGGGUUUCAAGGUAAUUUGGCCCCAGUCAUUUACAGUAAUGUACAGAUGCUUAUGGGAGAAGCGGUACAUGGCAAGCUUUUUGUUGUUGCUUCGGUUUGUCGCCACAUUCUACCUGUGGUGACUGCAUAUUUGUAUGUUUCAAUGCGAUAUCAAACAUUGAAGAAAGAUACAGAACUGGUUUAAGAAAAGAAAUGGUAUUAUGAUAUGAAAAGGGAGUUUUGUUUCUACUUAGGACCAGGGAAAGCAGCAGCGGAAGUGAGGUCUGUGAGCAGAAGGAAAACUGGCGCAACUGUGAAAUGCAGUAGUGAAAGUGGUGAUGAAAUUCCAGAAUCAGUCCCAGUGUCAAGUUCAAGGCCUUCACGACGAGCAAAAACAGCGGCACUGACAAGAAUGAAUCUUUCAGGACUUUUGAACAGGGAGGCAGAUCAAUGAAGGGAGAAGGAGAGAAAGUGGCCUUUGCUAAUGCUGGUAGUUAACAUCAGACUAGAAAAAUAAGACUUGCUUUGGUUUUAGUCAUAUUUAACUCUUUUUUUGUACUAAAAUCAUAAUUUUAGAAUUUUCUAGGAACUCUUACUUGUUUUUUAAAUAGAUGCUUUUGAUGAUUUUCCCGAUAUGAAGUCCAUCAUUCAAGUAAUAAAUCAUUUAUGUAAUUAAAAUUUUACCUGAAC